CCCUUAGAUGUCCUGGGCCGCACGCGUGCUACACUGACGCAUACAGCGAGCACUUUCCAGUUCCGAGAGGCUACUGGUAAUCAUCAAUAUGCGUCGUGAUGGGGAUAGAUCUUUGGAAUUCUGGAUCUUGAACGAGGAAUGCCUAGUAAUCGCAGGUCAUUAGCCUGCGAUGAUUAAGUCCCUGCCCUUUGUACACACCGCCCGUCGCUACUACCGAUUUCGAGUGGUCAGGUGAAUCUUUCGGACUGUGGGCGCCCUUGAGGUGUUCGCGGAAAGUCAGGUAAAUCUUAUCACUUAGAGGAAGGAGAAGUCGUAACA
rnacentral:rRNA from 1 species